AUACAGAGGGUGCGAGCGUUAAUCGGAAUUACUGGGCGUAAAGCGCGCGUAGGCGGCUUAUUAAGUCAGAUGUGAAAUCCCCGGGCUCAACCUGGGAACUGCAUCUGAUACUGGUAAGCUAGAGUUUUGGAGAGGGAAGUAGAAUUUCAGGUGUAGCGGUGAAAUGCAUAGAGAUCUGAAGGAAUACCAGUGGCGAAGGCGUCUUCCUGGCCAAAAACUGACGCUGAGGUGCGAAAGCGUGGGUAGCAAACGGGAUUAGAAACCCUAGUAGUCC
rnacentral:rRNA from 1 species